GGUUGAGAGAAAAGUCACGAUUAAGUCUUUGUCCCUGAAGGUUCGAGUCCCCAAGCGUUGCCCUCGUCAUCCGUGAAUCGCCAGAAUGAUGUAGUAUAGCUUGUACGACUGAGAAAAAUCACCGAGUUUAGUUUUAAUUCCGAGAAGGUUGAAGUUUAUGAGCGUGACAGGGUUAAGUUUUUGUCCCUGAAGGUUCGAGUCCCUAAGCGUUGCCCUCGUCAUCCGUGAAUCGCCAGAAUGAUGUAGUGUAGCUUGUAUGAUUCAGAAAAGUCACUUGAGUUUAGUUUUGAUUCCGAGAAGGUUGAAGUUCAUAAGCGUAACCACCAGUAAUAGGUUAGCAUUGAUGGUGUAGUGUAGCUUGUAUGAUUGAGAGAAGUCACUGAGAGUUUAGUUUUGAUUCCGAGAAGGUUGAAGUUCAUAAGCGUGACCACCAGUAAAUAGGUUAGCAUUGAUGGUGUAGUGUAGCUUGUAUGAUUGAGAGAAGUCACUGAGUUUAGUUUUAGUUCUGAGAAGGUUCAAGUUCAUAAGCGUGACCACCAGUACUAAGUUAAGCAUUGAUGGUCACUGAGUAUAUUAAUGUCCCCAAGUUAUCAAGCAUUCCAUUCCCCCUGUCACCAAAGAAUCACUAGAAAGACAGAUUAGAGUGUAUGGCUGAUAGAGUUAGUCCAUUCUCCUUCAUUUGGUCACUUCAGAGUCUCACUACAGCAUCAUCAGUAGUUAGCUUUCAAUUCUUCUUUCAAUCUCACCAACUUCACAUUCCAUCCCUUGACCUUUAAACGCAGCAACCCGGCCCUAAAAUCAUUAAUCAUAAAGGACGUAAGGUUAGCCCGGCGGUCCCUAAAGCCUUAUACCAGAGUAACGCUGUAUAUCGUAGUGGGUCUCGGCUCAGUGUGAGUAGAUGGGUGAUUCAGGUCUUCAGGUCCUGCCCCGAGCGGUUACAUCGGUCCCCCCUAAGUCAGCGCGAAUCAGGACAGAGGUGCGAGAGGCUGCCAGAGCCCCACACCACACCAGACCAGAGCUGUAGUAUAGGAGAGCUGGACCACCUUCGUCGCAGGCACCGUGUCGUUACGUAAAGACCCCCACACGUAACUCAAAUUGACUCCGAUGUAAUAGCUUUCUUGUGGCCUAGGUAUUAUGAUCUUCAAGGACCUGGAGAAUAAGAAAACGGUAUUGUAUUUGUGUUGAUUUGUAUUUCAUGCGGGUCUUUGGGUAGCAAUAUGGCGCCUUGUGAUCAGUGUUUCCGGAUAUCGCUGUCUGCUGCUCACUUUUCCCUUUCUUUUUCUCCUUCUUCUUCUUCUCUCUCAUGCACCUUUUCCUUCCUCUUAUCGUUGCUACAUAUCUCUCUUCUCUCUUUUUCCCUCUCUCUCUCUCUCUCUCUGUCUGCUUCUCACGUUUCUCAUUUUCCCUUCUUCUUCUUCCUCUAUUGUCUCUACAUAUCUCUCCUCUCUCUUUUUCCCUCCCCCUCUUGCUGUCUCCUCACUUUUCUCCUUCUUUUCCUUCUCUUUCAUACACCUUUUCCUUCCUCUUAUCGUUGCUACAUAUCUCUCUUCUCUCUUUUUCCCUCUCUCUCUCUCUCUCUUGCUGUCUGCUUCUCACUUUUCUCCUUCUUUUCCUUCUCUUUCAUACACCUUUUCCUUCCUCUGUCGUUUCUACAUCUCUCUUCUCUCUCUCUCUCUCCCUCCCUCUCUCUCUCGGAACACUGCCCAUGGUGAAGGUGGUCAAAGUCCCCUAUGCCACGCCUCUCCAGCAUACUCUUCCCCUCCCCCUUCACUGCCACACUCUCCCCAUCCUUGGAGUGGAGCGCUGGGCGUCCUCUCCGACACUCGAGAAAUGGCACCACUUUACCAGCUCAACCAUCGCGUCAUUACCUCAUUGGCUUCUUAUUUUAGAUCACCGCCUCCUCCUCCUCCUCUGUCUCCGCUGCCUUCCUCUCCCCACCGCCUCCGCUGUAAUAUUUCCUCCUCAAGGGAACAACAACCUGCUUCUGUUUUGUUUAUUUUCUGCUUUGUUGUUGUUGUUAAUCACCUCCAGCGACCCUCCCGGGACAAACUGCUGCCCCCCCGUGGGAGCGGCAGUGUGUGUUUGUGUGUGUGUGUGUGCGUGGCGCCGCACUAACCCUUCUCUGUUCCCCCCGCCUCCCCCCUGCCCCGCCCCGCCCCUCAUGUGCUGCACAUUCACCGCCCCAGACUAAUACACUCACACUCUGUAAUUCCCAUUUUGUUUGUGUAUAAGUGUAAUAAUCUUUAUUAUGAUUUAAUUUUAUUCUCUCUAAAUGAUUAUUUCUCAACAAAGUUAAUAAUCAUAAUAUUUCCUCUCUCUUCAAGUUAAUAUUUGCUCUGCAGUUUAUUUUUAUUUUGUAAUAUUGUUGUUGAUAAAUCACUUUACUGUUUAAAGAAAACAGCCUUGAUGGAUGCAUUGCUUAGUUAAAUAAGAUCUGCCAAGAUAAAAGUGUUGUGUUGAGGUGUUAGCUAGCAGCUGAGGCUUAGACUACUCUAGGGUAGCCGGCGGGCACGGCCGCCACCGCCCCCCGCCCCCCAGGCCACCACUGUGCCGGCAUCCUGCUGCCCUGUGUGCCCCGUGAGCAGUGCCGGGUGCAGUGUCUGGCAUGUACCCUUGGGCACCCCAGGGCAGCAGUGCCGGGCAGCAUGGCACAGGGCCGGGGUGUGGCGGUGGCCGGGCCUGCCUUAGUGUUAACUGAGGCCGUGAGCUGUAGUGGCGGCCCCUUGCUGCCCCCACCCUGACCCCCAACCACCCUCACCCACCACCCCCUGGCCUGCUGGGUCACCCCAGCAGGCCAGGGGGGGCGGGGAGGGAGGUGCCCCUUGAGGUGACUCAGAAGACCAGGAUCAACAGCGACAACGGCAGGACGACCCAACAGGACCUGCUCCCCCCCUCCCUCCCUCCCCUCCACCCUCCCUCCCUCAUCACUGCCUCUGUCUCUCACACCAGUGUUAACCUUUGUCAUUAUUUUAUUCUCUGAGUAAAUGACCCAUGUGGUGGGUGCCCCCACGGCCCCCCACCACUGAAGGGUAACACCCCAACCCCCUCACUCACAGAGCUCCCUUCCCUGCCUCACACUGCCAGGCUGUGUCAGGUCCUGCCCAGCCUGGCCAGGCCUGACACAAGUAUGUCAGUGUGAGGCAGCCAGGAAGCCUUCCUCACCCCUGGCAGGUGUGGUGGUCUGUGCCCCACACCCGGCCACACCCUCACCCUGCCCCCCACACCCUGCACGUGUCCCCCACACAACACAUCAGGCUCCUCACCAGCUGGCUUAUGCAUUAUAAUCACAAGGAUGGGGCUCAUGCCCCCACCACUCUCACCUCCUGCCCCUGACCUUCUCCUCCACCCUGCAUGCCAAAGUUCACCACUGACCUCACCCGUCCGUCUCUCGACUCCCCCGUCGCCAGUUCUCACACCAACAGACAUUCUCGGUUUCAUAGAGGGAGGCCGGCCAGCCCCGGACCGUCCCUAGCCCCCGGCCGCCUCAGUGCCGAGCCAAACUCUUGCCUCUCUCUGUCUCUCUUUCACACUCCUCGGUUGGAACAGUUACUGCCGUCCUUCUGAAUACAGCACAACACUAACCCACCCUGACCCCGGCCACCCAGCCUGGCUACGGCCCCCAGUCACUGCCACCCUACUGUGGCCCCUCACGGCCCACCUGUCUGUGCGGGUGUCCGGGGUCAGGGCUCAGGGAGUGAAGCCUCGUCAACAUUCCUCCCUCUUCCUCCUCUCCUGUCUUUAUCGCUGCCAUUCCUCCCUCCUUCUCCUUACCUGCAGUUUGACCUGACUUGACCUCUUGUGAGCAAGCUGACCUUACAUUUGACUUUGCCUAACUACUGAGUGUUAAUUACCAACUUGAGCUAACAUCCUCCUGGGGCUGGGAGAGUGGGCACCCCCGCCCCGGCGCCACCCAGGGCCAGGGGUGACCACCACCACCAUACGGCUGCCGCCACUACCACCACCACCAGUGCAACUCACACCCUCGUGGCGGGUCAUAUGCUUGGCUCAGCCCCGUAGGUCGUGCUGCCUUGUGGGGGCGGUGUGUGUGUGUGUGUGUCAGGACAGUGAAGGUCAUGUGCUGUUCACCAUCGCCGCACUGGACACACGCUACUGCUGUGCUGCCAAACCUUAUGUUCACUCAGUGCCUCGAGGAAGGCCGUACUCAAGCUGGAGAACAAGCCUGUGUUUGAGGGUUACCUUAGAGAAUGAUGACUAUACAAAAGACUUACAUCAUUGAAAACCUUACAACUCUGAAUAUUUUAAGUACGUAAAUGAUACAAAAUAUACAGAAGUACACAAAAAGCUAUCACAGCAUUGAAAAAGUCUUACACGGCAGCCUCUGUAGCGUGUGUGUGCGUGUGUUUGUGUGUGUGAUGGCAGUGCGGUGGGCAGCACAUCCCGACCUGGGCUGCCCUGCCACACCAAACCCCCAAGCCCCAGGCAGACUUUGACCCAAGUUGUGCACGACCCAGUGACCUCCCCCGCCCCCUGACACCCAUCCUGCCCCGCCCCGGCCGCCUCAGGACCAGGCCGGGGGUGGUGGCGCGCCCCCCAACCUUCCAGCAUGUGUUUGGUGUGUUAUUGUAUUUAAACUUUUGGUUAUUAUUUAGUUAGUGUGUUUUUGAUUUAUUUAUUUACGUAGAGUUAAAAGUUCUAUGAUUUUUUAGCACAUUUUUGCACUUUUUUAACCAGUUCAGUUUUUUUGGGUUGUUUUGACGUGUUGUUUUAUUUUUGGUUAACCUGCAUGUGUGUGUUUUAUGUUGUGUCCACAGACGAUCUAGUUGCUGAGAAAGAUAAGAGUAGGAUGCUCCAGGCUGACAUGGAAGCCACCCUACAGGACAUCCAGAAUAUGUAAUCACUGGC